GUGGGGAAUCUUGCGCAAUGGGCGAAAGCCUGACGCAGCCAUGCCGCGUGAAUGAUGAAGGUCUUAGGAUUGUAAAAUUCUUUCACCGGGGACGAUAAUGACGGUACCCGGAGAAGAAGCUCCGGCUAACUUCGUGCCAGCAGCCGCGGUAAUACGAAGGGGGCUAGCGUUGCUCGGAAUUACUGGGCGUAAAGGGCGCGUAGGCGGACAGCUUAGUCAGAGGUGAAAGCCCAGGGCUCAACCUUGGAAUUGCCUUUGAUACUGGCUGUCUUGAGUUUGGGAGAGGUGAGUGGAACUCCGAGUGUAGAGGUGAAAUUCGUAGAUAUUCGGAAGAACACCAGUGGCGAAGGCGACUCACUGACCCAAUACUGACGCUGAGGCGCGAAAGCGUGGGGAGCAAACAGGAUUAGAAACCCCGGUAGUCC
rnacentral:rRNA from 1 species